UCGAUGAAGUCAGGAUAGGUG
rnacentral:misc_RNA from 1 species